rnacentral:rRNA from 1 species
UGCAGUCGAGCGGUAACACAGGGAGCUUGCUCCUGGGUGACGAGCGGCGGACGGGUGAGUAAUGUCUGGGAAACUGCCUGAUGGAGGGGGAUAACUACUGGAAACGGUAGCUAAUACCGCAUAAUGUCGCAAGACCAAAGAGGGGGACCUUCGGGCCUCUUGCCAUCAGAUGUGCCCAGAUGGGAUUAGCUAGUAGGUGGGGUAACGGCUCACCUAGGCGACGAUCCCUAGCUGGUCUGAGAGGAUGACCAGCCACACUGGAACUGAGACACGGUCCAGACUCCUACGGGAGGCAGCAGUGGGGAAUAUUGCACAAUGGGCGCAAGCCUGAUGCAGCCAUGCCGCGUGUAUGAAGAAGGCCUUCGGGUUGUAAAGUACUUUCAGCGAGGAGGAAGGCAUUAAGGUUAAUAGCCUUGGUGAUUGACGUUACUCGCAGAAGAAGCACCGGCUAACUCCGUGCCAGCAGCCGCGGUAAUACGGAGGGUGCAAGCGUUAAUCGGAAUUACUGGGCGUAAAGCGCACGCAGGCGGUCUGUCAAGUCGGAUGUGAAAUCCCCGGGCUCAACCUGGGAACUGCAUUCGAAACUGGCAGGCUAGAGUCUUGUAGAGGGGGGUAGAAUUCCAGGUGUAGCGGUGAAAUGCGUAGAGAUCUGGAGGAAUACCGGUGGCGAANGCGGCCCCCUGGGCAAAGACUGACGCUCAGGUGCGAAAGCGUGGGGAGCNNNNAGGAUUAGAUACCCUGGUAGUCCACGCCGUAAACGAUGUCNAUUUGGAGGUUGUUCCCUUGAGGAGUGGCUUCCGGANCUAACGCGUUAAAUCGACCGCCUGGGGAGUANNGNCGCAAGGUUAAAACUCAAAUGAANUNGANNGGGGCCCNCACAAGCGGUGGAGCAUGUGNUU